ACAUUUCCUGAUGGGACAAAGUUAAUCACUAUUCAUAAUCCAAUCGUUAGUGAAGAUGGAGACUUGCAGCUUACUCUAUAUGGUUCUUUUCUACCUGUGCCUUCCAGUAUGAAACCUGAAAUGGAAGAUAAAACGGUUCCCGGUAAUGUGAUCCCCAAAGAUGGGAUGAUUACACUUAAUGAUGGCAGGAAAGCAGUAAGCCUCAAAGUCUUUAACUCUGGAGACAGGCCAGUUCAGGUAGGAAGCCAUUAUCACUUUAUCGAGGUAAACCCUAUCAU